rnacentral:rRNA from 1 species
UACGUAGGGUGCGAGCGUUGUCCGGAAUUAUUGGGCGUAAAGAGCUUGUAGGUGGCUCGUCGCGUCGGGAGUGAAAACCCGCGGCUUAACCGCGGGCCUGCUUUCGAUACGGGCGGGCUAGAGUUCGGCAGGGGGAGACUGGAAUUCCUGGUGUAGCGGUGGAAUGCGCAGAUAUCAGGAGGAACACCGGUGGCGAAGGCGGGUCUCUGGGCCGAUACUGACACUGAGAAGCGAAAAGCGUGGGGGAGCGAACAGG